rnacentral:rRNA from 1 species
UACGUAGGGUGCAAGCGUUAAUCGGAAUUACCGGGCGUAAAGCGUGCGCAGGCGGUUUUGUAAGUCAGAUGUGAAAUCCCCGGGCUUAACCUGGGAACUGCGUUUGAAACUACAAGGCUAGAGUGUGGCAGAGGGGGGUGGAAUUCCACGUGUAGCAGUGAAAUGCGUAGAGAUGUGGAGGAACACCGAUGGCGAAGGCAGCCCCCUGGGUUAACACUGACGCUCAGGCACGAAAGCGUGGGGAGCAAACAGG